rnacentral:tRNA from 1 species
CGGAUUGAAGCCCGCUGGUUUCGGUACUUAGCUGUUAACUAAGUGUUUGUAGGAUCGAAGCCUGCCAGUCCAG